UUCAUAAAACCAAUUAAGACCUCAAGGCCGGGGCACAGGAGCAAGCGGGAGGCCGGCAGCUCUGGUGACAGUGGGAGCCAACUCUAAGGAUAGAGCGGUACCUGCAGCUGCCUCCUCCCAGCUCCAGACACAGGGACCCCUGCGACCCAGACUAGCACAGAUGCAAUGGCAGGGGCAGUGUCAGAGGCAGGGAAGGGCUGGCAGGCUGCGAGGGGCAGCGAGCACGGGAGCGGUUUCUUCCCUUUCGUGACCAGCAGCCAGCAGAGCCUGAUUCCUCCCCCCACAGCCCUUUCUGGUUCCAGAAAACCUCAAGAGCUUCCCAUCCGGUUACCAAGGCAACUGUAGCCCUGCAAGAUUCAUAGUGAUGUUGGAGAGAGAGAGCAGAGAUUGACAGGAGCCCCAGACAGGAUGCCAGGGAAAAGGCAUCCAGGGGCUUUGGGCCAGAGCAAGCUGCACCACUCCCUGUUCAGCCUACUCCAGCUCUGUUUUCCUGCAGACUGUGUACCCAGCCCCAUGUGAGUGAAAAGACAGCAAAGAAGCAUCCCUCCCUGUCAGCUCUGUACCUCACUAAUCCAGCUGCACACGUGAGUGUCCUGGGGUCUGCCUACAUGUCACACACUAAAAAUGCAGCUGGGGAAGAAGCCACAUCCCACAAUGAGCUUGUGGCCACAGGCCUGGAGGAAAACAAGCCACACCCCAAGGCCCUGCCACCAGUGGGGGAGUACUGGUGCAUCUCUUCACUACCCCAGGAACCUCGAAUCAGAGGAACCUAGGUAUCUAGCCCAAUCCCCCGUUACCACAGAUGGGCAGCCAGUGCAGGAAGCAACCAGGACUCAGUAACAGGCUGAUUCAGAGGAACACAGAAAAAUGUCAAAACAAAGCAGCAGGUGCAACCUCAGACCUUUAAUCUACCCAGAAGAAAUCCAGGAGACACAGACACAAAAUAAAUUAGAAGUUACGCACCUGAAAUUUCUGAAAUGAUAGCAAUUAAAGUAAAGAAAGAA